CCUACGGGAGGCAGCAGUGAGGAAUAUUGGUCAAUGGGCGCGAGCCUGAACCAGCCAAGUCGCGUGAGGGAUGAAGGUUCUAUGGAUCGUAAACCUCUUUUAUAAGGGAAUAAAGUGUGGGACGUGUCCUAUUUUGUAUGUACCUUAUGAAUAAGGAUCGGCUAACUCCGUGCCAGCAGCCGCGGUAAUCCGGAGGAUCCGAGCGUUGUCCGGAUUUCUUGGGUUUAAAGGGUGCGUAGGCGGCCUUUUAAGUUAGCGGUGAAAUUCUGUGGCUCAAACAUAGAAUUGCCGUUGAAAAUGGGGGGCUUGAGUAGGUGUGAGGCAGGCGGAAUGCGUGGUGUAGCGGUGAAAUGCUUAGAUAUCACGCAGAACCCCGAUUGCGAAGGCAGCCUGCCAGGCCAUGACUGACGCUGAUGCACGAAAGCGUGGGGAUCAAACAGGAUUAGAUACCCUUGUAGUC
rnacentral:rRNA from 1 species